AGAUUACACUUUGGUAAACCACAUGUUAAGUAUAGGCCAAAUGCUAUUAUGCUGAGACGCUCCUCAAUCGAAACAGCACAGGUGGCUUGUACAUGCAUGUGUUUUGUAGUGUGGACUACAUCCAAUCAUUGAAGGAUUGAAAUCAGUUUAUGCAUUUUCAGGCAGACUUAUGUUUUAUGACCCAACGCUAUAGAUGAUUUUUAGAUUUCCUAGUGAGCCC
rnacentral:misc_RNA from 1 species